AUGGAGGUGUUUAGUCCGUAGGCAUAUUUCCAUUAUGAAUCGGGCAUACCUAAUGCGACGGCGCAUUAGGCAUCUUUUGAAGAUUCACCUACCAU
rfam:Drosophila willistoni strain TSC#14030-0811.24 scf2_1100000004930 genomic scaffold, whole genome shotgun sequence.